UUUCUUAACAGUUUAGGCACAGAACUAACAUCGCUUUGCACGAGUUUUCCAAACCCUGGCCACGUGAACUAAGCCAUCUGAUUGCUGGUAUAUCAGCAUCUAGAUUAUACAAAAUUAUCUGAACUUAUUUUCAUUCCUGCUGAUGCAAGUGCCUGGUGGGUCAAGUCCGGAGCAUGGACGCAUGACAAGGUAUGGCUUCCAUGAAAAGAAAACAACGUCACACUACCUCUCUUUUUGAUCCCUUGCCACUCAGCUGCUAACACAACUCUUCUCUCCACAAAUACCAACUCAGCUUUUAAUUUGAAACUGUUACGGAAGUUUCAGACAGGAAAAAUAAAGGAGUUAAAAGUGUGCCACUCCAAAAUAUGCCAAAUUAGUGUAUUGAUUACUUCAAGCUCAAAGCACUUUGGAAACUGUAGUUCCAGAAGUGACUAUCUGACCUGCCUUUUCCUGCAUAUAGCAAGCCGUAAAACUUCCAUGGAGAAAGAUGCCUUCCCUGUGCCAGGACAAGAAAAUAACCGUAUCCCCAGGCAGGUCUUGGUCCACAAAGAGAAUGCAUCUUUGCCAGAGGACCCAGCAUAAGUUCCAUAGACCUGCAAGCUGCCCUCAGGGCAUCUGGGAUAUCUUCUGUUCAAGGACCAGCAGGUGAACACUGGUGCUAAAAUUGAAAGGACAAGGACAGCUACUCAGAACGUUCCCAUCUUGUAAAAACCUUGACCCUGCUUCACUUGUGACAUCACCUGGUCUUCAGGUACUCCCUCAUGUAGUUCAAUUGAAUAAAGCCUUUAACCUCUAUGU